GUUGGGUUGGGUUGAGUUGGGUUGGGUCCAGUUGAGUUGGGUUGUGUUGAGUUGGGUUGGUUGGGUUGAGUUGGGUUGGGUCCGGUUGGGUCCAGUUGGGUUGGGCUGGGUUAGAUUGAGUUGGGUUGGGUCUGGUUGAGUCCAGUUGGGUUGGGUUGAGUUGGGUUGGGUCAGGUUGUGUUGUGUUGUGUUGUGUUGGUUGAGUUGUGUUGGGUUGAGUUGAGUUGGGUUGGGUUUGGUGGGGUUGGGUUGGGUUGGUCUGGGUUGGGUUGGGUUGGAUUGGGUUGGGUUGAGUUGGGUCAGGUCUGGUUGAGUUGUGUUGAGUUGGGUUGGGUUGGUUUGAGUUGGGUUGCGUUGGGUUAUGUUUGCUCACCGCUGCUGCACCACCUCCAGGUCCUCCAGCUUGUCGGGGACCAGCAGGGCGUGCAGCCACUGCUCCUUCUCUCCCACCCACAGCCCGCAGGCGUCGGCCUCGCUGCGCAUGGUGUAGAGGCUGAGCGCGUCCUGCAGCUCCUGCCGCCGGCGCUCCGUCUGCGCCGCCAGCUCCUGGUAGCGCCGCUCCAACGCCGGCAGCCGCCCGGCCACGCCGGGAGCGUCGGCGAACGCCGCCGGCAGAGCCCCGACCUGCUCGUGCAGCGCGGCGAUGGCGGGCCGGUGGCCGCGCACCUCCUCCUGCACCUCGCGGUGCUGCCGCGCCAGGCUGCGCGUCGAGUACUCGUCGUGGCCCAGCUCCGGGCUGGACGCCAGGCGCAACGCGUCCUCCAACCACGCCUCCACGUCGGCCGCCUCCGCUUGGAACUGGAAGAGCCCGGCCGCGUCCCGCAGGCGCCGCUCGCGCUCGUCCGCCAGCUCGCCCAGCGCCCGCCACCGCUCCUCCAUCUCCCGCACGCGCUCGCCCACCCGCUGGGCCCCCAGGUGCCCCUCGCCCACCAAGGCCCGGCCCCGCGCCAGCGCCUGCUGCAACGGCCCCGCGCGCCCGCUCAGCUCGUGCCGGAAGGCGGCGUGCUGGCUCAGCAGGCGCAGCGAGCUCGUCAGGUCCCGGCCCACGUCCUCGGAGGAGAGGAGCCGCUCCUGCUCCCGCAUCCACGCCUCCUCCUCCCCCGUGUCCCAGAAGAACUUCCAGAAGCGCCGCGAUUCCUCCAGCUUGGCGCGGCGUUGGGCCGCCAGCUCCGUCAGCUGCUGGUAGCGCUGCUCCAGCGUGGCCACGCGCUCCUGCACCACCUCCGGCUCGCACGGCUUGUAGCCUGCGGGAGAGCAGAGGAACCGUGUCAGAAGGGUCCUUCAAGGUCAUAGAGUGGGUUGCGAUGGGUUGGAAGGGUCCUUCAAGGUCAGAGAAUGGGCUGGGUUGGGUUGGAAGGGUCCUUGAAGGUCAUACAGUGGGUUGGGAUGGGUCGGAAGGGUCCUUGAAGGUCAUACAGUGGGUUGGGAUGGGUCGGAAGGGUCCUUAAAGGUCAUAGAAUGGGUUGGGUUGGGUUGGAAGGGUCCUUCAAGGUCAUUGAAUGGGUUGG
rnacentral:lncRNA from 1 species